CGGGGAAUUUUGGACAAUGGCGGCAACCCUGAUCCAGCAAUGCCGCGUGUGUGAAGAAGGCCUUCGGGUUGUAAAGCACUUUUGUCCGGAAAGAAAACUUCGAGGUUAAUACCCUUGGAGGAUGACGGUACCGGAAGAAUAAGCACCGGCUAACGACGUGCCAGCAGCCGCGGUAAUACGUAGGGUGCGAGCGUUAAUCGGAAUUACUGGGCGUAAAGCGUGCGCAGGCGGUCUGUUAAGACCGAUGUGAAAUCCCCGGGCUUAACCUGGGAACUGCAUUGGUGACUGGCAGGCUUUGAGUGUGGCAGAGGGGGGUAGAAUUCCACGUGUAGCAGUGAAAUGCGUAGAGAUGUGGAGGAAUACCGAUGGCGAAGGCAGCCCCCUGGGCCAACACUGACGCUCAUGCACGAAAGCGUGGGGAGCAAACAGG
rnacentral:rRNA from 2 species